GCCGUCGGUGACCUGGAGAAACUACAGCCAGUGAGAACCAAAGACACUAGACAAAACGCCUAGCAACACCCUUUCAGUGUGGGUUCGAGUCCCACUGGGGGCACCA
rnacentral:tRNA from 1 species